AGCGGAGGAAAAGAAACUAACAAGGAUUCCCCUAGUAACGGCGAGUGAACCGGGAAAAGCUCAAAUUUGAAAUCUGGCGUCCUCAGGGCGUCCGAGUUGUAAUCUAUAGAAGCGUUUUCCGUGCCGGACCGUGUCCAAGUCCCUUGGAACAGGGUAUCAAAGAGGGUGACAAUCCCGUACUUGACACGACUACCGGUGCUCUGUGAUACGUUUUCUACGAGUCGAGUUGUUUGGGAAUGCAGCUCAAAAUGGGUGGUGAGUUCCAUCUAAAGCUAAAUAUUGGCGAGAGACCGAUAGCGAACAAGUACCGUGAGGGAAAGAUGAAAAGCACUUUGGAAAGAGAGUUAAACAGUACGUGAAAUUGUUGAAAGGGAAACGAUUGAAGUCAGUCGUGACCGAGAGGCUCAGCCGGCUCUGCCGGUGUAUUCCCCUCGGUCGGGUCAACAUCAGUUUUGUCCGGUGGAUAAGGGCGGUAGGAAGGUGGCACCCACGGGUGUGUUAUAGCCUGCCGUCGCAUACACUGGGUGAGACUGAGGAAUGCAGCUCGCCUUUAGGCCGGGGUUCGCCCACUCCGAGCUUAGGAUGUUACA
rnacentral:rRNA from 1 species